AUUUAACAUGCUAACAUUUACUUUUGUAACAUAACAUUUAGUCCAUACUUUAUCAUUAAAGACACGGGGGCUCUGACAGACGAUGUAAACAAUCUGUUCGUGGUGUUUUAGAUCAGAACAGGAAGUGGAUCGUGUCCAUCAGAAGCAUCAAGCAUGCUGGUUGGUUGCCUGUGAGGACAGAGAGCGUCUUUGUGUUGGAUCAAUGACGGCCGAAGUGGUGAGGGGCGGGUUCGGGGGACCGGGGGGUUCCCCGCACAACAGAGAAGUUGUCCUGUGCCAGGUUGCCAUGACGGCGGCGCCAUUUGUGUCGCUAAAUCGUCACUUCUAUUUAUGGUGGCCUGCCACAAUUACAUUUGUACUGCCACCGAAGGAUUUAGCGCUUUACCUUUUUUAUUUUUUUUUAGGUUUGCCGUGUUCGCUCUCGCUCACAAACACAUUAUAGCGGGAAACACUGCAAUCCUUGGCUCGUUUAGUGACAGCCUGCUAGCAGAUAAAUUUAUCAGCUAGCCUUUAUCAGCUAGCUAUCAGCUAGCCUGACAUCACUCAUGACCUUUCAACGCAACAAUGACGAAGGAGUGGGAGCAGCCCUGACAAGGAGCUGUUUGUUAGAGGAAUACAAGCUAUCAAACUGUGGUUGUUGAUUUAUAUUCCUUGGAUUGGAGCCUAAACAUCUCAUCGUCUGAUUGGCUGAUGAUAAUGAUCCUCGGUGGACCUUCAAGUACCUUCCGGUUUGGUGUUUGUGGUUCUGAUUGGAGCAGCAGUUGGGCCGUAAUGUUUCCAGUGAUUCACCAUUCCAUGACUGAUAUGGAACAUGAAGUAGCUCCGCCCCCUGAGCGCUGGUCUUAACAGCUUGUGAAGGUUGAGUCUGGUGUCAGGACCAGAACUGAAGAGUCCAAACAGAAGAUGACGUAUGAGUUGAUGGAUGUUGACUUGUAGCUGGCGGGCCGUGAUUGUUUUCAGCUCACUGACUGGACAAAUGGAGCAUGAGGAGCAAGCAUGUGACCUGCUGGAGGAAGAGGAGGGAUAGGAAUGACCUCAUCUUAAUGAACAUGCUCAUCACGGAUGACAUGAGCAGCUCUAUGGGGACGUGCACACUUUUAGCUCACAGCGUGUUCCAAACUGAGUGGUGGUCUAUGUCGGCCCCCGCCAUGCCGACCAUGGUGUCCAGGCUGCCUAAAUUUGGCUCAUGGUCCAAAAGUACUACACAGACAAGCCCGACCACCGGCGCUGCCAGCGCCCGCCUCCCCAACGGCUUCUACCACCACCCCGGGCCCGCAGCGGUCAGCAGCACCUCCACUGGACUCUCCACCUCCGUGAGACGGACGGGAUCCAUCCGCACGCCCACUGACUAUUCCGCAAAGUGGAGGAAAGACGCCCUGGUCCCAGAUGGAGGUGGGGCUGACAAUAAGGAGGCGGAGUCAAGGGGUGGCAGUGUCAAGCACAGUCUCAACGGUACCGCCCAUGGCCAUCAUAGUCAGCAGAAUUCUUUGUUGGACUCAAAGAAGUCCAUCUUGUCUCCCUUGAAGGAGUCCAAGUCUCAGACACUUUCUGUUUCUAAAAAUGGACCUCCUGUUUCCAAGUCAAAGCAAACCGGUUCCAGACCGACCAAUGGAACCAAACAGACCCUGAAUGGGCUUUCUGGGUCCAAACUUCCAAGCAGUACCAGCAGCUCUCUGAGACAUCCUCAGUGGUCCACUCGUUCUGUUGCUUCUACAUCAGCACCUGGACCCGAUUCUGGUUCUAGAUCCGGUUCUCCCCUCCAUGCUGCACUGCCCGCCACCCGCUCGCUCUCCACUGACAACCUUGGAUCGGCGUCGUCUUCCCACCUCGCCAAAAACGAUCGUUUGCGCUCACGUAGCUUGAUGGUGGUCCAGCGGCGUCCUUCCCCCACCCCUUCCUCGACUAACACCGCCCGGCCAGUGGGCGGGGCCAAACAGGGGGGUAAACAGUCCACCGCUUCUUGUGCUCCGCCUCCAGCUCGGGUAUCAAGUCAAGGUCCAGGUGAGGGGCUCAAGGCCCCACCUUCUGCCUUGAAGAAGCCCCUCUUACCUGGGCUUGGCCCCGCCCCCAAGUCUAAUGGCAUUAGCUACAAGUUAUCGCGGCCGUCGCUUAUUAAGCAGCCCCGCCCCCUCCGAGGGACCCACACUCACGGGUUUCUGAGGGAGCCUGAAGUGAGCCGAGGCGGACUCGGAACGUCAGUGGAGACGGCGUCCUCAACAGGAAGCAGCCCAGCGAGCACGCCAGAGGGUCCAGAGUCGGAGGGGCCGCCGUCCCAAGGAGAGAUGUCCAUUCUGGGGGAGACAUUGGAAGACAUGUCCCUUUCGUCCAGCUCGUCUCUGGAUCAGAACCACACCAGUCAGGAGUACAUGGAUGACUUUGACAACCUGGGAAACGGAGAUACGGGCGUCGUCCUCCUCGCCAAAAACGAUGAAGACGACUCCGGUCUGGACCAGUCGUGCGCCGCCUUCUGUGACCACAGGGCGGCGCUCGAUGGUGUUACCAGGGAAGCAGAACUGAACUUUGUGGAGCACAGUUUGGACUGGACCGACGUGACGCUCAGGGCUGAUGGACAGAACCAGCUGACCCGCCUCAGUCGGUCCAGGGAGCCUGAGUUCCACGAGCAGGGGGGCUCGUCCCUGGACUUGUCCCCCUCAGACAGUUAUUGUUCCGGGGGCAUCUACAUGUGGGACGAGGAGGGUUUGGAUCCACUCGGGGGUGCCAUCGCUCACGCCGCCAUGGACUGCAGCGCCACGCAACAUGUUGGCAGCUUUGACUCCGACGUCAACGGCAGCGAUGUACUGACCAAUGUGGACUCGUGUGAUUUGGAUGAUGAUGACCUUAUGCUGGAUGGAGACUUUCCUGAGGACACGUCACUGCACACUGCAGAUGAAGGCGGGAUGUCCCACAUGGCCGAGUGGAGGAGGAGACAACUGUGCUGGGGGACACAGGAAGUUCACGACGACGACGACGACGAUAGCGAGCCAGAAUGCUACAAGCUAAGCGAGGACGCCGUCAAGGAUGCGAGCGGGAACGUCAUUCUUUGUCCUCAGAGGCCUGCCGGACUGCAUGUGGAGGAGCUGCUUGAAGACUUUGGCGCUGUCAGGUCACAGCUGGAAGUCCUCAGAAGGCUCCUUCUGCAGGAGGAGGACACAGAUGACGACACGCUGACCACUGACACUCUUAGCCCCGAAGAUGCCGACCAAUCACAGGUGCAGACUCUCCUGCAGGAGGUGCAGCAGCUGAAAGAGGAGCUGAGGAGCAAAGAUGACAUCAUCUCACAGCUCACGCUGCAGCUGCAGGUCGUUGCCCCGCCAACCAGCAGGUGUCACUGCAAGAAAACAGAAAGGACGGAGCAACACACGCAGACGAGCAUGGUGGAGAGGGAGAAUGUUGCCUUGCAGACGCCCUGGAGGGAGCGCACGGCCGUCCCUCCUGUCGCCUUCCUCUCUCCUCCCUGGCAGUACCAACGCUCCAGACCUUACGGGGGGAGGCCCAAACCCGGCAUUCCCUCCCACCUCGCUACAAAAAGAGUGGAAACACUCGUGCUUUACUUCAGCGACACGCCCUGUUACAGGUACUUCGCUCCUCCCGCCAGGAAGACCAGAACCCACUAGCAUGUCCAGCAAGCGUAAGCUCCACCCACCUCGCUCAGCACAUCAAGGGCCGCCGUGAAGCCCACGCCCGGCAGCCCCGCCUCUUCCUGACUGAGCUCUCCGGCGCGGCGAGGAGGACAAAGGUCUCAGCCGUGCCCGACGUUUUAGCCUCCAUGAUGAGAGGUGAUAGCAGCUGUCGCCAUGGAGACGAGUUAUCUAUUGUUCUUGACCACGCGGCGACUAAUGAUGGGCUCUCUUGGAUGGAAAAGUGCCACUCGAGGUGAGAGCGCAAGUGUUUUCAAUGUGCGGAGAAAAAAACAAAGCAGCGAUCGGAGAUGCAUCGAGCUCAGAAAGGUUACUGGUCAAUCUGGCUUUGUUGCUGGUGUUGUUUUGUCUUUUCUUUCUUUGAACCGCUUCGGGAUGAAGGACUGUUUUAUGCGAGUGUCUCCGUGCCAGCACUGAGGCCAAAAGAGUCACGUAAGUACAGUACAGUAAUCCCUCGUGUAUCACAGUUAAUUGGUUCCAGACCUGGCCGUGAGAAGUGAAUUUCUGUUACGUAAGAUUCCUUAUUUAUAAAUGGAAUAUUUUCAUAGUUAUAGCAUAGAAAACCUGUUUACGAUCAUCUAAAUAUGGUUUUCUAGACAUUAAAUAACACCCUACUCGUGUUACCCAAUAAAGUAGACAUAAGAGAAAAUAGGACAUAGAAAACCUGUUUCCGACCUUCUAAAUAGAGUUUUUAACAUUAUUAGAGCCCUGUGGACAUGAAAUAACACCCUUACACUUCUAUUACCCAAUAUAGUAGACAUAAUAAAAGAAAAUGAGACAUAAAUAAGACUUGUGAUCAUAUGUGUUGCUGUAAAUGUGUUUCGGUGCUUGGGGAACUGAGUGGCAGGCGGACAGGAAGUGACUUUGGGGGUUCAGAGUUUUAGUGUGGGUUAUGGGGGUAGGUUAGGGAUUAUUGCGCCUGUUGUGAUAUCAAACAUGCAAUAAAAGCCUGUUGUUCCAGUGAUCAAGUCUGGUGGUCUGGUGCUGUGUCUCACCCACCAUUAUGGUAACAUUACCGACACCUAGUGGCGAUGUAGAAUACUACAUUUCAUCACAAUGUCUUUGAAUGCGUCUUCUGAAUGCCUUAUAUUUGUAUUUUAGUUCAUUUCUCCAUUUUUAUGCUUAAAAAUGCUUAAUUUAGGCAAAAUAUAUGUAAAGUGUGGUUAAAUAUGCACAUUUUUGACUAAUAAUAGGCUAUAUUCAACCACAAAACAGCAUGAUUUAUUAAUAUAUUUUUGAAAAAACGUGAUAGAGUGAAGCGGUGAAGUUUGAAGCACGAAGUGGCAAGGGAUGCACUCACAUAUAAGGUUAUGUUCACACUGCAAGUCAAUUGCGAUUCUUUUCCUAAGAUGUGACCUGUAUCUGAUGUUUUCAUGUCAGUGUACUAACAUAAAAAUCUGCUCCAAAUGUUCAUUUUCUGUCAGGCAUUCCCACUGUCAUGCCCUCCUGAUGGUAAAGCUAAGAAGCUUUCUCUUUUUCAACGUGGUGGGUUGUUCUUCAUCCAUCCAUCGCUCCAUUUUCUUCCACUUAUUCGGAUCCAGGUUGCGGGUGCAGCAGAUUCAGUAAAGAAGCUGAGGCUUCCUGGUCUCCGGCCACCUCUUACAGUUCUGCUGGGGGAGGAACACAAGGUGUUCCCAGGCCAGCUGUGUGACAUAAUCCAGCCAGCAUCUCCUUCUACCCAACGGACUGGGUAUGCCCAGAACACCUCAUCAAAGAGGCAUCCCCGAGGCAUCAGGACUAGGUGCCAUAGCUACUUCAACUGAUGUGGGCCUGGUGGCUUCAUCGGGCCGUGAUCUUCAGCUCUCAUUGGAUCGGUUCGCUGGGAUGAGACUCAGCACAAGUCACCUUUUCUUAGGAAAUGUGAACGACUACAUUAAAAGAUCUAAUUUUUACAAAAAAUCAGUAUUGGGAAUCAUACCCUGCAGUGUGAACGUAGCCUAAGCCAAUCGUACCGUGCCUGGGUACACCUCACACAUAAAGCAUGGCACGUUUGGCGAGUGGGAGUCCACACCCAAGUGCCUGCUUUGGCAUGAUUGAAAGAGACAGUGCUAUUGCGUUCAGACAGUGCCCUACUCUGCCUCGAAUUGGCUCUGACCUUAAAAUGACGAAUCAGAAAAGAGGGUGGGCUGCGGGGCCGUCUAUUCAGUGCCCACCCACGCAGCGCCAAAACUCAGCAAUGGCGAGCGCAUAGAAGGCAGACAUUGGCGGAUAUUGGCACUGUAUAUUAAUACAGUGCCAAUAUUCAUGUGCAUAAGAACCAAUCAGCGCACAUAAAGACCACUCUUUGCGCGCUCGCUAGCGCUCUCUGCAUGCUGGCGGUCACUGCACGCAAUUUCGCCGAGUCAUAAAAUGACUAAUGCAAUCGCUACCUGCAAGUUCUUAAUUAUAACAUGCACAAUUCAUUAUAAAGAAGAAAAUAGAAAGACUCAAAAUAAUCCAAAAGUCAAACCCACAGCAUGGUCGCUCACCCGCUACUACAUUUGCUGCGUAAUAAAGACGUGCCACUUAAUUAACGUGAUUGCUCCUCUGGCAAGUAAUUAAUGACAGCUGCAAGCUUGUCCAAAAUAAAUAACCACUUGAAAUAAGAUACAAAGUCAGGGAAAUUGCAGUAAUACAGCAGACUAGAAUUGAUUGCACAAGUAAAUGGGCCAUGACUGAAACCAGCAGGGGCAAGGAGACUGAGGGGGAAUCGAACACAAGUUCAGCAGGGUACGAAUGGCCUUGUGUGAGUCCACCCAGAGACUGAAGGUGAUGCGGGGGAGUUUAACAAAGAGGAGUCAGAGGACAGGUGAUCAGCUACAAUAACAGUGCCGGCAUGUACAGUAAGUAUGGAAUGUUGUCAGGAAGGAUUUUUCCCUCCUGAUCCCCUCUGAGAGCAUUUGAUCCCAGAUUGGAGCGAGGCUGGAAGACACAGAUAGGCCGCGUUUGGCCUGUAAGACUCCCUCUGCCGUGGACGAGAGGCUGAGGUGCUGCCAACAAAUUAGACUUCAUCAGUCGGCUGGAGAACGUUUCAUCCAGCUGGCGUGAUGCCGCGUCGACCAUUUUUUUCCCAAUGAGUGCUUCCCGCUCACAACGUCCUCUCUCAGCCAGGAAAUCAAACUGACCCCUCCUCCUCCUCCUCUCCAUCACACGGUGAUCGCCUUCUCACACCGACUUCUACGUUUCUCCCCAAAGCAAACAUGUUGACUUUGCUGCAGACUUGACUGAAGAAAACAGAAAGGGAGAGAAUUCCCUCCAGAACAUGACCCCCACCCCCCACCCCCACCCCACAGCCCAUACACCGCCAUCUCACCUCACUUCAGCCUCAGCUCAUCAUGCUGGUCAACAUCAGAAGGUUCAACGUGCUUCCUAAUAGGGCACAUCUCUGUCUCGUCACGACCCCUCUUCGCUUUUAGAGUUUGUCUCCACACAGAAAUAACAUUCUUCAAAAUGGGCGGUUGGUUAGCUACCCCUGCUCAAUACUUAUCCAAGGUUGGGCCGCAAAGGCAGCAGGCUAAACAGAGAAGGCCAAACUUUCCUCUCCCCGGAUACUUCGUCCAGCUCCUCCUGGCAGAUCCCAAAGCGUUUCCAGACCUGUUAAGAGACAGAGUCUCUUCAGCGUGCCCUGGGUCUUCCGUGAGGCCUCAUACCGGUCGGACAGGCCCUGAACAGUGUGCGGGAGGCAUCCUGACCAGUGGCCUGAGCCAGCUCAUCUUGUUUUGCUCAAUGCAAAGGGGCAGCGGUUCUACCCUGAGUUUUUCCUGCAUAAGAGUGCUUCUCACCUUAUCUCUAAGGGAGAGCCUGGCUACCCUACAGGGGUAAAUCAUUUCAGCCGCUUGCACCUGUGAUCUUGUCCUUUCGGUAACUACUCGUGACCAUAGGCUUGUGGACUGAGGAAUCUAGUGGGGAGUAGUCCGGGAGUAUGGGGUACCAGACAACCUAAUUCAGGCGGUUUUCUCCCUUAUAAGUCCGGUGUCAGAGUUUGGUCCACAUUGCUGGUAAUAAGUCAGACUGGUUUCCAGUGAGGGUUGGACUCUGCCAGGGCCUAUACCCUUUCUCACUGAUUCUGUUCACUACUUUUAUGGACAGAAUUUCAAGGCACAGCCAGGGAUGCGGUUGGGUGACUUCAGGGUUGGGUCUCUGCUUUUUGCAGAUGAUGUGGUCCUGGUGGCUUCAUCGGGCCGUGAUCGUCAGCUCUCACUGGAUCGGUUCACUGGGAUGAGACUCAGCACCUCCCAAGUCUGAAUCCAUGAUUCUCGCCCGGAAGAGGGCGACCCAUCACCGGGUCAAAGAUGUGAUCCUGCCCCAAGUGGAGGAGUUUAAGUACCUCGGGGUCUUGUUCACACAAAGUGUCUGAUUGAAAACCACAUUCCUCUUGCAUGUAUACGUGCAUGUAUACACUUUGAUAGAAGAUCAUCAGAGUGGUCUUUCUACGCAUGCAGCAGUCCCCAUGGAGAACUAAUGGUGCAUGAAGGGAGGAAGCAAAGAGGGCGAUCCUGGAAGGCCAGAAUCAAGCCUUCUCAGUGUGCUCGUUUAUGUCUGCCAAAGGCUCACCAAGCGGCUGUCAAUUUCAAAUUUUCCGUACGUGAUUUAUUUCACAGUGUGAUUGAUUGAAGCAAAAAUGUACAAUCUUGAGAGGCCUUCUCGUGAAGGUAGAAUAUCUUGGCACAUUCAGGCUGCUCUCAAAAAAUAUCUGAUUUCCUCACUCUCUAGCCAACAGAUGUACGGCAGAGCUCGGCUCCGGACUCACUGUUGGAACUGGACAUAAAUUAACCAGCAAUAUAGUUAUCACGCAUAUAUCGUAGCAGUAUGAAAGUGUGUUGCCCUUUAGGAAUGUCUGUUUUAGGAAUGCAGCGGUGACCCAGCAACAGAGAAAGUGACGACUCAUGGUGCCACCGUGGCUGCUGACUCCAAGGAUGCAGUCGCAUACUAACCGAUGUCCUUCGAGGCUGUGCUGAAAUGUGCUUCAUACCACACAUGUAUCACUGAUACCUGCCACAGAGACGCACACAUAGACAAAACAAAGUACAGUUGUGCAGCUGCGUUGCUCACCACAUCCCUUAGAGUUGCACAACCUU